rnacentral:rRNA from 1 species
GACGAACGCUGGCGGCGUGCUUAACACAUGCGAGUCGAACGAAGAGCGAUGGAAGCUUGCUUCUAUCAAUCUUAGUGGCGAACGGGUGAGUAACGCGUAAUCAACCUGCCCUUCAGAGGGGGACAACAGUUGGAAACGACUGCUAAUACCGCAUACGAUCUGACCUCGGCAUCGAGGAUAGAUGAAAGGUGGCCUCUAUUUAUAAGCUAUCACUGAAGGAGGGGAUUGCGUCGGAUUAGCUAGUUGGAGGGGUAACGGCCCACCAAGGCGAUGAUCAGUAGCCGGUCUGAGAGGAUGAACGGCCACAUUGGGACUGAGACACGGCCCAGACUCCUACGGGAGGCAGCAGUGGGGAAUCUUCCGCAAUGGACGAAAGUCUGACGGAGCAACGCCGCGUGAGUGAUGACGGCCUUCGGGUUGUAAAGCUCUGUUAAUCGGGACGAAAGGCCUUCUUGCGAAUAGUUAGAAGGAUUGACGGUACCGGAAUAGAAAGCCACGGCUAACUACGUG